CUCUUCGACCCACCAUUUACCAAAUGGCCCAGUUGUAUGGGCUUGAUUUGACAAUUAUACUGACACAAACAUGAGUAUUUUUUUUUUUUUGAAAUAACAUGAGUAUUUCGUUUAAUUAUAAAUGUUUUUUUUUUUCUUUGUAGACAUUAUAAUUAUAGAACGUAAUAAGUAAUAUAGGAGAAUGGUAAAUAAUUUUCAAAUUAUUAACUUUAGAUUUGUACUCCCCCGUCCCUAAAUUACAUUUCUAAUUCCAGCAUUUAUUCCUCAUAUAAUAAAGGAAAGUAAGAAUGUAAUUUAAGGACGGAUAGAGUAGCGGAUUAAUCCUUAAGGGAAAAAAAAUUGCUAAAGAAAAAGGAUUGUAAAUAUAUUUUCAUGCUAAAUUCCAGUGCAUGACUGAUAGAUAUUAUAUUUACGAUAAUAUUUGUCGCAGAUUAGGAUAAUAUUGUAUAUUUUUUUGAUAUACUUCAUAUCCUUAUCAUAAUAGGAUUACGACCCUUGUAAACCCCUAUAUAUAUUAUUCAAUGGUACACACUCCAAUAUAAGGAGUUUUCCCGAAAUCUAGCAUGGUAUCAGAGCUUAGGUUUUAGAUCUCAAUUUUGUUUUUCCAAACUCUUUGGUUUUUUUUUCCUCUGUUCUCUUUUUUUCCUUUUUUUUUUCCAGAUUACCUUUAAGUUCCCUUUCCUUUUUGUUUCCAGUUCACUGCUCCAUUGAGUUUAAAUGGCCAAGGAUAAUGAAACACCUCCUCUGCCACCUCCGCCACCUACUACGACGGAAUUUCACCCUGCCUUGGCAGUGAGCAACAUAAAGAAUGCCAUACCCCUUGUUCUUGACUAUGAGAAAGUACAAUACUCCAAUUGGGUGGAGCUAUUUGAGAAUCAUGCUUGUGCGUAUAAUGUGUUAGAUCACAUAGACUCAACUAUUUCACGGCCGACGGAUGUAUCAGACUCUUUGUGGAAGCGCCUCGAUGCUAUUGUCAAGUAGUGGAUAUAUGGCACGAUCUCUACCGACCUUCUCAAUACGAUUUUAGCCCCAAAAUCGACUGCUCAACAACUAUGGGAUCCGUUAAAGAAAUCUUUCAAGAUAACAAGAACACUAAGGGCGUCUAUCUUGAAAAUCAAUUCAAUUCGCUUCAUCUAAGCAACUUCCCUAGCGUUAUGGCAUACUGUCAACAACUUAAGAGCCUUGCUGACUAGUUAGCCAACAUCGAACAACCUGUGACGGAGCAAAAGCUAGUAAUCCGCCUUGUUUCCGGCCCAACAGGCACCGACUUUGAUACGGUUGCUACCAUGAUUCAGCAAACCGAUCCUCUACCUUCGUUCAACACAACAAGAUCGAGACUACUUCUUGAGGAAUCUCGGCGAGCGAACGACCACAAUUCAUCUCCUUCUUCCUUUGUCGCACAAUCGGAACUCUCUGCGAAUUCCGGGCAGCAGCAACCACAGCAGCAGUCGUCGGUUGGCCGGGGUACAGGUGGCGGCGGCAAGGGACGAGGUGGCGGCGGUAAAGGCCGGGGUAAAGGAAAAGGCCGAGGUACACUAGUCGGGGUUCUGGACAGCAACAGAGUCCGCAACAACAAGGCCAACAACCUUCACAGACAUGGCCCCAACAACCCACUCCUAAUGGGCAGCCGUGGGUCCAACAGCCUCCCUGGCCCAAUCAGCAUCAACAAUUUUGGCAGCCUCAAGGUUGGGCCAUUCCUCCAGCGCCUUUCCCCACUAAUGGGGCCUAUCAGGCUCGGCCCAACCCUGGUUCGGGUCGCGGUUUGUAUUCUCAGCAGGCCUACGCUAUCGGUCAGCCCCAAUACGGCCUGCUUAUGACCCCCACGGAGUUCGGGAGUGCAUAUUCUUUGAUGGGUCUUUCCAGUCCGGAUAAUGGGUGGUACAUGGACUUGGGUGCUACAUCUCAUAUGACACAUAAUUCUGGACCUUCGCAUGGGGAGGGUAAUAACGAGAUGCAAUAGCACCGGGGACCUUUAUCCUGUCACCUCAAGCUCACCAAGCACUUGCCUAGCCACUACUCUCACUGCAGCUACCCCGUGGCAUGAUCGUUUGGACAUCCUGGGCCUUCCUCUCUAAGUCUUAGGAGCAAUAAUUUCAUUACUUGUAAUAAGGAGCAUGACUCCACCUUUUGCAAUUCAUGUCAGAUAGGGAAACAUGUUAGACUUCCGUUUUAUGAUUCAAAUAAUACUACUUUCUCUGUUUUUGA